AAAAACUUAGUUAAAUCAUAACAUUAGUUUGUCAAACUAAAAUUAUUAAAUAUUUAAUAGUUUUUA
rnacentral:tRNA from 1 species